CCUGAUCCAGCCAUGCCGCGUGUGUGAAGAAGGCCUUAGGGUUGUAAAGCACUUUCAGUGGGGAGGAAAAGUUGGCGGCUAAUAUCCGUUGACCCUGACGCUACCCACAGAAGAAGCACCGGCAAACUCCGUGCCAGCAGCCGCGGUAAUACGGAGGGUGCGAGCGUUAAUCGGAAUUACUGGGCGUAAAGCGCGCGUAAGCGGUCUGGUAAGCUAGAUGUGAAAUCCCCGGGCUUAACCUGGGAACUGCAUUUAAAACUGCCAGACUAGAGUACAGUAAAGGAUGGUGGAAUUUCAGGUGUAGCGGUGAAAUGCGUAGAUAUCUGAAGGAACAUCAGUGGCGAAGGCGGCCAUCUGGACUGAUACUGACGCUGAGGUGCGAAAGCGUGGGGAGCAAACAG
rnacentral:rRNA from 1 species